GCCGCUGUGGUGGAAUGGUAGACACGACGGAUUCAAAAUCCGUUACCUUCGGGUGUGCCGGUUCAAGUCCGGCCAGCGGUACCA
rnacentral:tRNA from 1 species